rnacentral:rRNA from 3 species
ACCCGUUCCCAUCCCGAACACGGAAGUCAAGACCUCUCGCGCCAAUGGUACUGCGUUCGUCGCGGGAGAGUAGGUAGCCGCCGGGC